rnacentral:rRNA from 1 species
UUGCCCUAGUAACGGCGAGUGAAGCGGCAACAGCUCAAAUUUGAAAUCUGGCUCUUUUAGAGUCCGAGUUGUAAUUUGCAGAGGGCGCUUUGGCGUUGGCAGCGGUCCAAGUUCUUUGGAACAGGACGUCACAGAGGGUGAGAAUCCCGUACGUGGUCGCUAUCCUUCGCCGUGUAAAGCCCCUUCGACGAGUCGAGUUGUUUGGGAAUGCAGCUCUAAAUGGGAGGUAAAUUUCUUCUAAAGCUAAAUACUGGCCAGAGACCGAUAGCGCACAAGUAGAGUGAUCGAAAGAUGAAAAGCACUUUGGAAAGAGAGUCAAAUAGCACGUGAAAUUGUUGAAAGGGAAGCGCUUGCAGCCAGACUUGCCUGUAGUUGCUUAUCCGGACUUUUGUCCGGUGCACUCUUCUGCGGGCAGGCCAGCAUCAGUUUGGGCGGUUAGAUAAAGGUCUCUGUCAUGUACCUCUCUUCGGGGAGGCCUUAUAGGGGAGACGACAUGUAACCAGCCUGGACUGAGGUCCGCGCAUCUGCUAGGAUGCUGGCGUAAUGGCUGUAAGCGGCCCGUCUUGAAACACGGACCAAGGAGUCUAACAUCUAUGCGAGUGUUUGGGUGUCAAGCCCAGACGCGUAAUGAAAGUGAACGGAGGUAGGAACCCUUUGGGUGCACUAUCGACCGAUCCUGAUGUCUUCGGAAGGAUUUGAGUAAGAGCAUGGCUGUUGGGACCCGAAAGAUGGUGAACUAUGCUUGAAUAGGGUGAAGCCAGAGGAAACUCUGGUGGAGGCUCGCAGCGGUUCUGACGUGCAAAUCGAUCGUCAAAUUU